rnacentral:rRNA from 1 species
AUUGAACGCUGGCGGUAUGCCUAACACAUGCAAGUCGAACGGCAGCACAGUAAGGGCUUGCUCUUACGGGUGGCGAGUGGCGGACGGGUGAGGAAUACAUCGGAAGCUACGUUUUCGUGGGGGAUAACGUAGGGAAACUUACGCUAAUACCGCAUACGACCUACGGGUGAAAGCAGGGGAUCUUCGGACCUUGCGCGUUUGAAUGAGCCGAUGUCGGAUUAGCUAGUUGGCGGGGUAAAGGCCCACCAAGGCGACGAUCCGUAGCUGGUCUGAGAGGAUGAUCAGCCAAACUGGAACUGAGACACGGUCCAGACUCCUACGGGAGGCAGCAGUGGGGAAUAUUGGACAAUGGGCGGAAGCCUGAUCCAACCAUACCGCGUGGGUGAAGAAGGCCUUCGGGUUGUAAAGCCCUUUUGUUGGGAACGAAAAGCAGCAGGUUAAUACCCCGCUGUUCUGACGGUACCCACAGAAUAAGCACCGGCUAACUUCGUG